rnacentral:rRNA from 1 species
UACGGAGGGUGCGAGCGUUGUCCGGAAUCACUGGGCGUAAAGGGCGCGUAGGCGGCAGGCCAAGCGUGCGGUGAAAGUCCGGGGCUCAACCCCGGAUCUGCCGUGCGGACUGGUUUGCUAGAGCACUGUAGAGGCGAGUGGAAUUCCGGGUGUAGCGGUGGAAUGCGUAGAGAUCCGGAGGAACCCCAGAGGCGAAGGCGGCGCCCUGGCUCGCAACUGACGCUCAGACACGACAGCAUGGGGAGCGAACGGG